CAGGCUUAACACAUGCAAGUCGAGGGGCAGCAUGGUCUUAGCUUGCUAAGGCCGAUGGCGACCGGCGCACGGGUGAGUAACACGUAUCCAACCUGCCGUCUACUCUUGGACAGCCUUCUGAAAGGAAGAUUAAUACAAGAUGGCAUCAUGAGUCCGCAUGUUUACAUGAUUAAAGGUAUUCCGGUAGACGAUGGGGAUGCGUUCCAUUAGAUAGUAGGCGGGGUAACGGCCCACCUAGUCUUCGAUGGAUAGGGGUUCUGAGAGGAAGGUCCCCCACAUUGGAACUGAGACACGGUCCAAACUCCUACGGGAGGCAGCAGUGAGGAAUAUUGGUCAAUGGGCGAGAGCCUGAACCAGCCAAGUAGCGUGAAGGAUGACUGCCCUAUGGGUUGUAAACUUCUUUUAUAAAGGAAUAAAGUCGGGUAUGGAUACCCGUUUGCAUGUACUUUAUGAAUAAGGAUCGGCUAACUCCGUGCCAGCAGCCGCGGUAAUACGGAGGAUCCGAGCGUUAUCCGGAUUUAUUGGGUUUAAAGGGAGCGUAGAUGGAUGUUUAAGUCAGUUGUGAAAGUUUGCGGCUCAACCGUAAAAUUGCAGUUGAUACUGGAUAUCUUGAGUGCAGUUGAGGCAGGCGGAAUUCGUGGUGUAGCGGUGAAAUGCUUAGAUAUCACGAAGAACUCCGAUUGCGAAGGCAGCCUGCUAAGCUGCAACUGACAUUGAGGCUCGAAAGUGUGGGUAUCAAACAGGAUUAGAUACCCUGGUAGUCCACACGGUAAACGAUGAAUACUCGCUGUUUGCGAUAUACUGCAAGCGGCCAAGCGAAAGCGUUAAGUAUUCCACCUGGGGAGUACGCCGGCAACGGUGAAACUCAAAGGAAUUGACGGGGGCCCGCACAAGCGGAGGAACAUGUGGUUUAAUUCGAUGAUACGCGAGGAACCUUACCCGGGCUUAAAUUGCAGAUGAAUUACGGUGAAAGCCGUAAGCCGCAAGGCAUCUGUGAAGGUGCUGCAUGGUUGUCGUCAGCUCGUGCCGUGAGGUGUCGGCUUAAGUGCCAUAACGAGCGCAACCCUUGUUGUCAGUUACUAACAGGUUCCGCUGAGGACUCUGACAAGACUGCCAUCGUAAGAUGUGAGGAAGGUGGGGAUGACGUCAAAUCAGCACGGCCCUUACGUCCGGGGCUACACACGUGUUACAAUGGGGGGUACAGAGGGCCGCUACCACGCGAGUGGAUGCCAAUCCCCAAAACCUCUCUCAGUUCGGACUGGAGUCUGCAACCCGACUCCACGAAGCUGGAUUCGCUAGUAAUCGCGCAUCAGCCACGGCGCGGUGAAUACGUUCCCGGGCCUUGUACACACCGCCCGUCAAGCCAUGGGAGCCGGGGGUACCUGAAGUGCGUAACCGCGAGGAGCGCCCUAGGGUAAAACUGGUGACUGGGGC
rnacentral:rRNA from 1 species